AGGUGCUAAUACCGUAUAAUGCUUUUUCUCGCAUGAGAGCAAGCUGAAAGGCGCUUUUGCGUCACUGAUGGAUGGACCCGCGGUGCAUUAGCUAGUUGGUGAGGUAACGGCUCACCAAGCCACGAUGCAUAGCCGACCUGAGAGGGCUGAUCGGCCACACUGGGACUGAGACACGGCCCAGACUCCUACGGGAGGCAGCAGUAGGGAAUCUUCGGCAAUGGACGAAAGUCUGACCGAGCAACGCCGCGUGAGUGAAGAAGGUUUUCGGAUCGUAAAACUCUGUUGUUAGAGAAGAACAAGGAUGAGACGUAAAACU
rnacentral:rRNA from 1 species